rnacentral:rRNA from 1 species
AUUGAACGCUGGCGGCAGGCUUAACACAUGCAAGUCGAGCGGGGUGAUGGUGCUUGCACUAUCACUUAGCGGCGGACGGGUGAGUAAUGCUUAGGAAUCUGCCUAUUAGUGGGGGACAACAUCUCGAAAGGGAUGCUAAUACCGCAUACGUCCUACGGGAGAAAGCAGGGGAUCACUUGUGACCUUGCGCUAGUAGAUGAGCCUAAGUCGGAUUAGCUAGUUGGUGGGGUAAAGGCCUACCAAGGCGACGAUCUGUAGCGGGUCUGAGAGGAUGAUCCGCAACACGGGGACUGAGAAACGGCCCAGACUCCGACGGGAGGCAGCAGUGGGGAAUAUUGGACAAUGGGGGGAACCCUGAUCCAGCCAUGCCGCGUGUGUGAAGAAGGCCUUAUGGUUGUAAAGCACUUUAAGCGAGGAGGAGGCUCUUUUGGUUAAUACCCAAGAUGAGUGGACGUUACUCGCAGAAUAAGCACCGGCUAACUCUGUGCCAGCAGCCGCCGUAA